rnacentral:rRNA from 1 species
AUUGCCCUAGUAACGGCGAGUGAAGCGGCAACAGCUCAAAUUUGAAAGCUAGCCUUCGGGUUCGCAUUGUAAUUUGUAGAGGAUGAUUUGGGGAAGCCGCCUGUCUAAGUUCCUUGGAACAGGACGUCAUAGAGGGUGAGAAUCCCGUAUGUGACAGGAAAUGGCACCCUAUGUAAAUCUCCUUCGACGAGUCGAGUUGUUUGGGAAUGCAGCUCUAAAUGGGAGGUAAAUUUCUUCUAAAGCUAAAUAUUGGCGAGAGACCGAUAGCGCACAAGUAGAGUGAUCGAAAGAUGAAAAGCACUUUGGAAAGAGAGUUAAAAAGCACGUGAAAUUGUUGAAAGGGAAGCGCUUGCAAUCAGACUUGUUUAAACUGUUCGGCCGGUCUUCUGACCGGUUUACUCAGUUUGGACAGGCCAGCAUCAGUUUCGGCGGCCGGAUAAAGGCUCUGGGAAUGUGGCCUCCACUUCGGUGGAGGUGUUAUAGCCCAGGGUGUAAUACGGCCAGCCGGGACUGAGGUCCGCGCUUCGGCUAGGAUGCUGGCG